AUAAAAAAUAACUUGCAUUAAGUUUACAUUUAGAACAUAUACAAAAAAGGAGACUUUCUUCUUUUGGUUCACUGUGCUACACCACCAAAGCUUCCACUCUUCAGUUUUUCAGAACCCUGUGUGUUGCCAUCGGACGAAUGGUUAAAUUCUAUUGUUAAUGAAAACAAAAAAAGUUCACAAAUUAUGGAAAAGUUUGAAGUAUUAUGUGAAUCUGCAAAAAUUCCAAAAAAAACUGUUGUCGUAACCGGUAAACCUGGUGAAGCUAUCAUAGAAGCUGCAAAUUUAGAAGGAAUAAACCUCAUAGUUAUGGGGGCGCGAGGUUUAAACGCUUUAAGACGUACGUUUAUUGGUAGUGUGAGUGAUUAUGUUCUUCAUCAUUCUAAUGUUCCUGUUACAAUAGUUCCUCCAAUCGUCUGAAACAAACGUUAUUCAAAUUUUCUUUUAAUUCUUAUAUAAUUUAUUUCUUUAUAAUUAUUAUAUAGUCUAUACUGUAUAUAUUA